CAUCUACAAUACGUGCAAAAUCUUUCUUUAAAACAGCUUCAUUACUGGCAGCAUUACCUACCGAAUCAGGAUCGGAGAAUGUGUGCUAGGAAACAAAAUAAACAUCCUUGCAAAUAGUGUAGCCCUGGUUUAUGAAGAGGAAUGAUUGCAUCUGUAACGUUUUUACUUUUUAAAUCUCAGUUUUCAAGGGGCGACGGGAAGUGAUGGCAAGUCGUGCAUUCAGAUGACUGUUCUUCUGUGUUCAGAGGGAGAGAACUAUGGAGACCUGCGAAGAAUGCUCGGGCUUUCUACUGAAAGAGUACACCACAUAAAUAUUUAUACCAGUCUUUGGAAAUAUGCUAAUCCAAGGCAAGUAAUUUUCCCUCUCUUAAAUAGAGUCAUAAAAAACAAUUAAGGUGAUUUAAUUACUGCCGAGCCCAGAGAACAGAUUUUGAACUCUGACAGAUGAACAUUCAUCACAGCGCCAUGUUAUGCUAACCCUAUAACACAAGUGUCUGAACAGAACAGACAAACCUUGAUCAUUUCCCCUACCUUCAUGCAGUACUUUGGGCAGAAUCCAGAUCCCAGGAAGUCAAUGGGAGCAGAAGCCAGACUUUUCAAGUUCUGACUGAAAGCCCCAGCUUUAAAUUAAACACAACUAGUUUGCAUGCAAGUUUGUAGUUCUUCAUGAUGCCAAAGUAAAUUUAACUUCACAGUCCUUUUCUGAAAUCAUUUCAAUCUAAAUUUAAACAUUAUUAUAAACUACAAAGAAAUGCUUAAAAGACAUUUAACUUUGAUGUCCUUCACAGUUACCCAAUAUAGAGGUUCAAUUGUUUUAAACUUUCUGGGUUUAUUCAUACUUAUAAAAUCCUUUGACGUCUGUCUCUCUGUUAUGCCCUUAAGGGCUUGGG